rnacentral:rRNA from 1 species
AUACAAAACCAAUGCCCUUCGGGGCCCUCUUGGUGAUUCAUGAUAACUUCUCGAAUCGCACGGCCCCGCGCCGGCGAUGGUUCAUUCAAAUUUCUUCCCUAUCAACUUUCAAUGCUACGGUAUUGUCCUAGCAUGGUUG